GAUGAACGCUGGCGGCGUGCCUAAUACAUGCAAGUCGAGCGAACAGACGAGGAGCUUGCUCCUCUGACGUUAGCGGCGGACGGGUGAGUAACACGUGGAUAACCUACCUAUAAGACUGGGAUAACUUCGGGAAACCGGAGCUAAUACCGGAUAAUAUAUUGAAUCGCAUGGUUCAAUAGUGAAAGGCGGUUUUGCUGUCACUUAUAGAUGGAUCCGCGCCGCAUUAGCUAGUUGGUAAGGUAACGGCUUACCAAGGCAACGAUGCGUAGCCGACCUGAGAGGGGGAUCGGCCACACUGGAACUGAGACACGGUCCAGACUCCUACGGGAGGCAGCAGUAGGGAAUCUUCCGCAAUGGGCGAAAGCUUGACGGAGCAACGCCGCGUGAGUGAUGAAGGUCUUCGGAUCGUAAAACUCUGUUAUUAGGGAAGAACAAAUGUGUAAGUAACUAUGCACGUCUUGACGGUACCUAAUCAGAAAGCCACGGCUAACUACGUG
rnacentral:rRNA from 1 species